AUACAGGGGGUGCGAGCGUUAAUCGGAAUUACUGGGCGUAAAGAGUACGUAGGCGGUUGCUUAAGUCAGAUGUGAAAGCCCCGGGCUCAACCUGGGAACUGCAUUUGAAACUGAGUGACUGGAGUUUAAGAGAGGGGAGUAGAAUUCCGGGUGUAGCGGUGAAAUGCGUAGAGAUCCGGAGGAAUACCAGUGGCGAAGGCGGCUCCCUGGCUUAAAACUGACGCUGAGGUACGAAAGCGUGGGUAGCAAACAGGAUUAGAUACCCUAGUAGUCC
rnacentral:rRNA from 1 species